UGCCAUAUCUACUCAGUCAAUAGAGCAUGAGACUCUUCAUCUCAGGGCCGUGGGUUUGAGCCCCACCUUCGGCAA